rnacentral:rRNA from 1 species
GAUGAACGCUGGCGGCGUGCCUAAUACAUGCAAGUCGAGCGAAUGGAUUAAGAGCUUGCUCUUAUGAAGUUAGCGGCGGACGGGUGAGUAACACGUGGGUAACCUGCCCAUAAGACUGGGAUAACUCCGGGAAACCGGGGCUAAUACCGGAUAACAUUUUGAACCGCAUGGUUCGAAAUUGAAAGGCGGCUUCGGCUGUCACUUAUGGAUGGACCGGCGUCGCAUUAGCUAGUUGGUGCGGUAACGGCUCACCAAGGCAACGAUGCGUAGCCGACCUGAGAGGGUGAUCGGCCACACUGGGACUGAGACACGGCCCAGACUCCUACGGGAGGCAGCAGUAGGGAAUCUUCCGCAAUGGACGAAAGUCUGACGGAGCAACGCCGCGUGAGUGAUGAAGGCUUUCGGGUCGUAAAACUCUGUUGUUAGGGAAGAACAAGUGCUAGUUGAAUAAGCUGACACCUUGACGGUACCUAACCAGAAAGCCACGGCUAACUACGUGCCAGCCGCCGCGGUAA